rnacentral:sRNA from 1 species
UCUCGCUCCGAUCGUAGAGCGGAAUUCGCAACCCAGCCAUGCAGCAUGCGCGAGGCGAAGCUCGUGGCCGAGAGCGUUU